GGCUUCAUGGCUCAGUUGUAGAGCGUUUGUACCGGAAUCGCUAUAAAGUCAUGGGUUCUAAUCCCGUUGGAGGUA